UACGUAGGGGGCAAGCGUUGUCCGGAAUCAUUGGGCGUAAAGAGCGCGUAGGCGGCCCUGUAAGUCCGCUGUGAAAGUCAAGGGCUCAACCCUUGGAUGCCGGUGGAUACUGCAGGGCUAGAGUCCGGAAGAGGCGAGUGGAAUUCCUGGUGUAGCGGUGAAAUGCGCAGAUAUCAGGAGGAACACCGAUGGCGAAGGCAGCUCGCUGGGACGGUACUGACGCUGAGGAGCGAAAGCGUGGGGAGCGAACAGG
rnacentral:rRNA from 1 species